GAGCGGAUGAAGAGAGCUUGCUCUCUGAUUCAGCGGCGGACGGUUGAGUAAUGCCUAGGAAUCUGCCUGAUAGUGGGGGACAACGUUUCGAAAGGAACGCUAAUACCGCAUACGUCCUACGGGAGAAAGCAGGGGACCUUNGGGCCUUGCGCUAUCAGAUGAGCCUAGGUCGGAUUAGCUAGUUGGUGAGGUAACGGCUCACCAAGGCGACGAUCCGUAACUGGUCUGAGAGGAUGAUCAGUCACACUGGAACUGAGACACGGUCCAGACUCCUACGGGAGGCAGCAGUGGGGAAUAUUGGACAAUGGGCGAAAGCCUGAUCCAGCCAUGCCGCGUGUGUGAAGAAGGUCUUCGGAUUGUAAAGCACUUUAAGUUGGGAGGAAGGGCAUUAACCUAAUACGUUAGUGUUUUGACGUUACCGACAGAAUAAGCACCGGCUAACUUCGUGCCAGCAGCCGCGGUAAUACGAAGGGUGCAAGCGUUAAUCGGAAUUACUGGGCGUAAAGCGCGCGUAGGUGGUUUGUUAAGUUGAAUGUGAAAGCCCCGGGCUCAACCUGGGAACUGCAUCCAAAACUGGCAAGCUAGAGUAUGGCAGAGGGU
rnacentral:rRNA from 1 species